rnacentral:rRNA from 1 species
UACGUAGGGCGCAAGCGUUAUCCGGAAUUAUUGGGCGUAAAGAGCUCGUAGGCGGUUCGUCACGUCGGCUGUGAAAUCCCGAGGCUCAACCUCGGGUCUGCAGUCGAUACGGGCGGACUGGAGUACUGCAGGGGAGACUGGAAUUCCUGGUGUAGCGGUGAAAUGCGCAGAUAUCAGGAGGAACACCGGUGGCGAAGGCGGGUCUCUGGGCAGUAACUGACGCUGAGGAGCGAAAGCGUGGGGAGCGAACAGG